GUCUGCAGCGUGUGCGCAUGUUGGAAGGGUCUCUGUCAGGCCAGAAGGCUGCAGGGUGGAAACAAGAGAUCCCGGUGUCUUGAAGGGAGGCCUGGGAGACAUCCUGUUUCGGUCUGACUGCUCUGAAGUCACACAGUCUCUUUAUGCUGUUCAACUGUGGGUCUCUGUCAACUAUCUACUGUAAGAAGACGCUUCUUUGAUUUACCAAUGGCCUUAAUCUUUGCAAAGAUCUUAAAGAAACCAACAGUAAGAACCAUGCUCAGGGGGCUGGAGAGAUGACUCAGCACUGACUGCUCUUCCAGAGGAUCAAGGUUCAAUUCCAAGCAUUCGCAUGACAGCUCACAACUGUCUGUAGCUCCAGUUCCAGGGGAUCUGGCACUUUCAGACAUAAGUGAAAGCAAAACACCAAUGUACAUGAAAUAAAAGUAAAUAAAUCCUUAAAAAAAU
rnacentral:lncRNA from 1 species